rnacentral:rRNA from 1 species
AUGAACGCUGGCGGCGUGGAUAAGGCAUGCAAGUCAAACGGUCCUCCCCACUUUCGAAGUAAUAUAAAUAUUGUUUCAAGAGUGGGGAGGACAGUGGCAGACGAGGUAGUAACACGUAGGAACGAACCUAGAAGUCAGGAAUAAUCCAUCGAAAGAUGGACUAAUACUUGAUAGUCCCGUAAGGGUAAAGAUUUAUCGCUUCUGGAUCGGCCUGCGAAGUAUCAGCUAGUUGGUAAGGUAAUGGCUUACCAAGGCUAUGACGCUUAGAGGAGCUGAGAGGCUGACCCUCACCGAUGGUACUGCGACACGGACCAUACACCUACGGGUGGCUGCAGUCGAGAAUCUUCCACAAUGGACGAAAGUCUGAUGGAGCGACGCCGCGUGACUGAUGAAGUUCUUCGGGAUGUAAAGGUCUUUUAUGAGGGAUGAAGUUUAUUGACAGUACCUCAUGAAUAAGGGGUUGCCAAACUCGU